rnacentral:rRNA from 1 species
AGAUUGAACGCUGGCGGAAUGCUUUACACAUGCAAGUCGAACGGCAGCACGGGGGCAACCCUGGUGGCGAGUGGCGAACGGGUGAGUAACACAUCGGAACGUGCCCAGUCGUGGGGGAUAACUACGCGAAAGCGUAGCUAAUACCGCAUACGAUCU